rnacentral:rRNA from 1 species
GCCCUUCGGGGUACACGAGCGGCGAACGGGUGAGUAACACGUGGGUGAUCUGCCCUGCACUUCGGGAUAAGCCUGGGAAACUGGGUCUAAUACCGGAUAUGACCUUCGGCUGCAUGGCUGAGGGUGGAAAGGUUUACUGGUGCAGGAUGGGCCCGCGGCCUAUCAGCUUGUUGGUGGGGUAAUGGCCUACCAAGGCGACGACGGGUAGCCGACCUGAGAGGGUGACCGGCCACACUGGGACUGAGACACGGCCCAGACUCCUACGGGAGGCAGCAGUGGGGAAUAUUGCACAAUGGGCGAAAGCCUGAUGCAGCGACGCCGCGUGAGGGAUGACGGCCUUCGGGUUGUAAACCUCUUUCAGCAGGGACGAAGCGAAAGUGACGGUACCUGCAGAAGAAGCACCGGCUAACUACGUGCCAGCAGCCGCGGUAAUACGUAGGGUGCAAGCGUUGUCCGGAAUUACUGGGCGUAAAGAGUUCGUAGGCGGUUUGUCGCGUCGUNUGUGAAAACUCANAGCUCAACUNNGAGCNUGCAGGCGAUACGGGCAGACUUGAGUACUGCAGGGGAGACUGGAAUUCCUGGUGUAGCGGUGAAAUGCGCAGAUAUCAGGAGGAACACCGGUGGCGAAGGCGGGUCUCUGGGCAGUAACUGACGCUGAGGAACGAAAGCGUGGGUAGCAAACAGGAUUAGAUACCCUGGUAGUCCACGCCGUAAACGGUGGGCGCUAGGUGUGGGUUCCUUUC